GCAAGUCGAGCGGAAACGAGAAUAGCUUGCUAUCUGCUGACGAGCGGCGGACGGGUGAGUAAUGCUUGGGAAUAUGCCUUUGAGUGGGGGACAACAGUUGGAAACGACUGCUAAUACCGCAUAACGUCUACGGACCAAAGGGGGGGAUCUUCGGACCUCCCGCCAUUUGAUUAGCCCAAGUGAGAUUAGCUAGUUGGUAAGGUAAUGGCUUACCAAGGCGACGAUCUCUAGCUGGUUUGAGAGGAUGAUC
rnacentral:rRNA from 1 species